rnacentral:rRNA from 2 species
UUAAACUGGCGAACGGGUGAGUAACGCGUAGACAACUUGCCCAGAGAUUUGGGAUAACAUCGAGAAAUUGAUGCUAAUACCGAAUAAUAUCACGGACACCCCGGUGUCUGUGAUCAAAGGUGGCUUCGGCUACCGUCUUUGGAUGGGUCUGCGUCUGAUUAGCUUGUUGGUGAGGUAAUGGCUCACCAAGGCGACGAUCAGUAGCUGGUCUGAGAGGAUGAUCAGCCACACUGGGACUGAGAUACGGCCCAGACUCC